rnacentral:rRNA from 1 species
AGUCGAACGGGAUUUAGUAAACAGAAGCCUCGGUGGAAGAUACUAAUGAGAGUGGCGAACGGGUGAGUAACGCGUGAGCAACCUGCCUAUGACAGUGGGAUAGCCUCGGGAAACCGGGAUUAAUACCGCAUAAAAUCGUAGAAACACAUGUUUCAACGGUCAAAGAUUUAUCGGUCAUAGAUGGGCUCGCGUCUGAUUAGCUAGUUGGUGAGAUAACAGCCCACCAAGGCGACGAUCAGUAGCCGGUCUGAGAGGAUGAACGGCCACAUUGGAACUGAGACACGGUCCAAACUCCUACGGGAGGCAGCAGUGGGGAAUAUUGCACAAUGGGGGAAACCCUGAUGCAGCGACGCCGCGUGAACGAAGAAGGUAUUCGUAUCGUAAAGUUCUGUCCUAUGGGAAGAUAAUGACAGUACCAUAGAAGAAAGCUCCGGCUAAAUACGUGCCAGCAGCCGCGGUAAUACGUAUGGAGCGAGCGUUGUCCGGAAUUAUUGGGCGUAAAGGGUACGCAGGCGGUUUAAUAAGUCGAAUGUUAAAGAUCGGGGCUCAACCCCGCAAAGCAUUGGAAACUGAUAAACUUGAGUAGUGGAGAGGAAAGUGGAAUUCCUAGUGUAGUGGUGAAAUACGUAGAUAUUAGGAGGAAUACCAGUAGCGAAGGCGACUUUCUGGACA